UCCCAGGUGGCUCAGAUGGUAAAGAUUCUGCCUCCAUUGCAGGAGACCUAGGUUCAAUCCCUGGAUUGGGAA
rnacentral:tRNA from 1 species